GUGCUUGCACUCCGCGGGCUAAGUGCGAGUGGCGAACGGGUGAGUAACACGUGGGCAAUCUGCCCAAAAGUGGGGGAUAACACUUGGAAACAGGUGCUAAUACCGCAUCAACCGGCUGACCGCAUGGUCGGCCGGGCAAAGACGGCGUCAGCUGUCGCUUUUGGAUGAGCCCGCGGCGUAUUAACUAGUUGGUAAGGUAACGGCUUACCAAGGUGAUGAUACGUAGCCGAACUGAGAGGUUGAUCGGCCACAUUGGGACUGAGACACGGCCCAAACUCCUACGGGAGGCAGCAGUAGGGAAUCUUCCACAAUGGACGCAAGUCUGAUGGAGCAACGCCGCGUGUAUGAAGAAGGUCUUCGGAUCGUAAAAUACUGUUGUCAGAGAAGAACACGGGAUAAAGUAACUGUUGUCCCGCUGACGGUAUCUGACCAGCAAGUCACGGCUAACUACGUGCCAGCAGCCGCGGUAAUACGUAGGUGGCAAGCGUUGUCCGGAUUUAUUGGGCGUAAAGGGAACGCAGGCGGUCUUUUAAGUCUGAUGUGAAAGCCUUCGGCUUAACCGGAGAAGUGCAUUGGAAACUGGGAGACUUGAGUGCACAAUACGACAGUGGAACUUCAUGUGUAACGGUGAAAAGCACAGAGGUAUGUAAAAAAGUCCGCGCCCAA
rnacentral:rRNA from 1 species